UUGGUUUUGUUUAACUCUUUCUUCACUUCUCCCCUCCCAAACUCCAUCGUCACCUCAUCUCAUCUACAUCUCUAUUCCACUUCACGAGCUACUUUUUCUUCUGUUCUUCUUCUCACGAACUCCGUCGCCACCCUCCACCUCGUCACCUUCUCGUCUCCUCCUCAUCACCUCCACUCCUCGUCUCCUCCUGUAAGAAGAUGAUAUGGUGGUUGUUGGAUUUGCUGGAAGUAGAGUAGAAGACCACCACUAUUUGUGGCAGAUGUGGUGGUUGUUGGAUUCACGUCACACGGGUUGACGCUGGAAGAGGAAGAAGAAGAUCUGUGAGAUCCGGUGAGGUCGAGGAGGCGGCUUCAAGCUUGAAGAUUAGGUUUAGUUUUUUUUUUUUUUCUGGGUUUAUUUUUUUUAAAUUCUGGUUUAGUCUGUAAACCGGAUUUUAAUUGUAAACCGAACUUUAAUUUAUAUUAAAAAUAUUUUAUUUUAAUUAUAA